rnacentral:rRNA from 1 species
GCAAGGAAUUUUGCGCAAUGGACGAAAGUCUGACGCAGCAACACCGCGUGGGGGAUGAAGGCCCUCGGGUCGUAAACCCCUUUUGUAAGGGAAGUAACUGACGGUACCUUACGAAUAAGCCACGGCUAACUACGUGCCAGCAGCCGCGGUAAUACGUAGGUGGCAAGCGUUGUCCGGAUUUACUGGGCGUAAAGGGAGCGCAGGUGGCUCAUCAAGUCUAGGGUGAAAUAUCCCGGCUCAACCGGGAGGAGUCUCUAGAUACUGAUGGGCUUGAGGAAAGCAGAGGAAAGCGGAAUUCCCGGUGUAGCGGUGAUAUGCGUAGAUAUCGGGAGGAACACCAGUGGCGAAGGCGGCUUUCUGGGCUUUUCCUGACGCUGAGGCUCGAAAGCGUGGGGAGCAAACCGG